ensembl:lncRNA
GUCAGGAACACCUGGUGUCCGUCCUGAAGGUUAUAAAUCAGCGUUCAGGAGGUGUGGCGGCAGGGGAAGAAGGCACACGGUUGAAACCAUGGCACCAAGAAGGAUAAGGAAAAUCGGCAAUCAGACAGAAGGACACGCAGAUGGUCAAAUUAGCAAGGAGAUACGCCAAAAGCAAGGGACGCUUUUUAUUCAACAGUUCGAGAAAGAAGGCUGUUCAUUUUAACACAAGAACAUAUAAACGAGAUGGAGGAAAAAUUGGAGCAGACUCUUGCAACAGUAGAUCGGGUUUUCAAAGUGGAAUUGAUAAAUGCCACCUGCGCUUCAAAAAACCCGGAUGGCAAUUCGGCAGGUGAAGUCACCAUCGCCAUAAAGACCGAAUCACACGAGAUUCACCAGCCUCUCACAAGGAAGGUCAGUAAAGUCAAAGUAAGUGAAGGUGCAUCAGCUCAUAAAAGGAAGACUACAACAGAACCACCAAAGGUUUCCAAGAAAGCCAGAUCACUUGCCAAUGGCGGCUCAAGCACUGGAAGCCUACGGAGUGCCACAUCCACAAGUACAAAAAUAACCAACUCGCAUUGCCAAAAUCAGUGAUCAAUCUCCACUGACUGGGACGAAACACAGAUCUGUUUUGUGGUCAGCCAGUGAUGACCACCUGUGUUGCUCCCUGUCUGGAUUGUCUCCACAUGUAAUGAUCUCUACAUCCCAUGGAGAGACUUUGUGCCUCUCGGAUGAUACUGUUGAAGAUGUUGACAUCGGGUUACUGGAUGAUAUGGCUGUUCUCUAGAUGCAGAAGUUGAUGAAACUGAUGGACUAUCUUUUAAACAAAGUCAAAGCGACUCAGCCUAUGAAUUAGUCUGCAAUGAUACCAAGACGUCUAACAUUGAGCCACUAAUGCCACCUAUGCAUGUUUUACUUUCAAAUUUAAAAGUUGAUUCAAUAUAGUUCCGAUUUGUAUAUUCAUUAAUAAUCAAUAAACUGACUGGCUUUAUUAAUGUCUACAGUAUUAUGCAAUUUGGUUUCCCCUCAGGUUAUUGAUGUGUCAUUGCAACAUUAAAGGUCCUCAAUGACAUCACCAUUGCCCUUGUUUCUAAGCAAUGUUGUGCUGCUAUUUUUGACUUGGCCAAAGCUUUUGAUAUGGUAGACCAGUGGUUCCCAAACUUUUUAAAGUUCUGUACCCCUUCAAAUAUUAAACCUCCAGCUGCAUACCAGGGUCAGCACAC